CUCCAAUGCCAGCGCAUCCCUCUUCCCCCUCGUGGCUCGCGGUCGCCGCUGGCGUUCCUGCUCCGGGCCUUCCACAUGGUGAUGGGCGACCUGAGCACCUCCGACGACCUCGCCACGCGCCACCACCUCACCCACCGUCCACCCAUCACCUUUCCUGUAAACCUCGGCGACCUCCUCCUCAAUCUCAUGAUGUUGUCCUGCAAGUCUCCCCCGAGCCCUCUCCUCAAGCCCUACCACGCCCAGCUAGGCCACAACAGCGCCAAGAUCUAGGCCAUGUCUCCAACUUAGCAACUUAUUGCAGCACAACACGAGAUCUGGAUGGUCUGCAUCGUUGCCACCGUGGCGCGCACCGAGCAGGAGGACGAGGUGCCAGCCCUGACCGACCAGGCGGCCCACAUAGAGGUGCGCACACGGAGGUUUACUAGGUCGACGACUACGUCUAGGUGUUCGUCGUGGCGUGUACUGACCUCAUCAACCGGCUCCAGGGCCUACGCGAGAACCUCACGAACGUGAGGUCUGAGGUGUCUUCAGCUAGGCCCUGCAGAGCAUCCUUGUUUUCUCACGUUGCCAUAUUCAGGCCAAGUACAUCCUUAAUCUCGUGUUACUUAGCCCCAAACAAGCAAGUACAACCACUAUGACAGAGGCUGUUAUGGGAGUUCUGACCAGCAAGCUUGGUGUGGCCUUAGCAAAAGGGGCAGCAGCCUAUGGUGCAUCUCUGGAUUUCAAGGAAGCGUCUACUCAAUGAUUUUUUAAAUAUCUCCUGCAUUCACAUAGCCUCAGCCUCACAUGUAUGUGGCCUUGAACAGAAUUGAUGGAUAAUCACUAUUCAAGCACUCUGCUCCACAGUAUCUUGUCUUGGCACCUUAACAUAUGACGACACUAAUUGAAGAACAACAAAUUUUGACUGAAGACGUUGACGUGGAAUCUUCUGUGCCAAUAGGAGCAAAUAAACAAACAGGUUCGUUUUCUGGAGUGGCCUGAUGAUUUGGAGGGUUUUGUUCUAAAAGGCUAUGGUGAGUCUGUCAUUGCUCAAGGAUGUUGUCCAGUCAAUGGAAGAAACAAUCAAUAGCUAGAGAAGGCCACACUACAAAACAUCAUUGAGCGCAGAAACACGACAUGGUGCUAGGUCACAAGGUGAUGAAGACAUCCACACUACUGAUGCAUCUAUACCAAUACAAGUACCAAUUUCUGGUCCCAUUACUCGCGCUCGUGCUCGUCAACUCAACCAUCAGGUGAUUACACUCUUGAGUUCAUGUCCAUCAUAUUUAGACCAUGGAGACCCGUGCACUCUUGUUUUGCUUAGGAAUCAGGGAGAAGACCGAAAGGGAAAAGGAUUUGAACAUGCUGGAUUCGGACUGCAGAAGAACACCAACUUGUGACGGUCACCACGGUCAGAUGCGGGCUCGGAUUGGAAUGUUCAAGCACAACAUGGAAAGCUUAUCAAGUCUACUUUCAUAUGGAUCCGGAAUUAUAGUCAUAUCUGUUCUGAGGCCGCCGUAAUCAUUGUUUUCUUACCGAGAC